rnacentral:rRNA from 1 species
GCGUGGGAACGUGCCUUCUGGUCUGGAAUAACCCUGGGAAACGUAAGGGCGUAAUACCGGAUACGCCCUUUUCGGGGUAAAGGGUUUACUGCCGGAAGAUCGGCCCGCGUCUGAUUAGCUAGUUGGUGGGGUAACGGGCCUACCAAGGCGACGAUCAGUAGCUGGUCUGAGAGGAUGAUCAGCCACACUGGGACUGAGACACGGUCCAGACUCCUACGGGAGGCAGCAGUAGGGAAUAUUGCGCAAUGGGGGAAACCCUGACGCAGCAAUGCCACGUGAGUGAGGAAUGCCCUUCGGGUU